AUCAUAAAAACCCACACCAUAGCUGAGACCAUGCUUUCUCUCUCUAAGCGUUAACAUCAAAACUUUCUCUCUCUAAAGAAGGAGGGAAACAGUGAGGAGUGAGAACAGAUGCCUGAACUCGCACUGAGCUCUUUCCUUUUUUUGCUAUUAUUGUUAUUCUUCCUCUUUUUCGAUCCUCUCUCUGCAACUCAUUUGCCAUUUUCUAGAGACAGAAGGCUCGGACGAAGCAUUCAUGGCCAUGUUUCGUUGCUUGAAGAGAAUAUGGUUUCAGAAGGGAGUGCAGAGCUCUGCAACAUCUUCAAUGGAAGGUGGGUUUUUGAUGAGAGUUACCCUCUCUACUCCUCUCAGAGUUGCCCAUAUAUCAGCUCAAGGGUGAACUGUAAGUAUAAUGGAAGGCCAGAUUCAGAUUACCAGAAGUGGCGAUGGCAACCUGACACUUGCAACGUGCCAAGGUUUGAUGGUGAAAAGUUGCUGGAGGGGUUGAGGGGGAAGAGGUUGAUGAUAGUUGGGGAUUCAUUGGACAGGAGCAUGUGGGAAUCCUUGGUUUGCAUGCUCCUUUCUUACUCCCCAGACAUCACCAAAUCCAUUCAGCUCAAUUACCCCUUCAAUGUCUUUAGAGCCCUGGAGUACAAUGCCAGUGUAGAAUUCUUUUGGGCUCCGUUUCUAGUUGAUUUGGACAUGGAACUGGUUCUCGGCCAGCCCAAGAGAGUUCUCAAACCCUAUGAAAUCGAAGGAAAUGCCCAAGCAUGGAGAGGUGUCGACAUUCUCAUCUUCAAUUCUGCUCAUUACUGGACACAUCUUGGUGGUCUCAAAUCAUGGGAUUACAUAGAGUAUGAGAAUGGACUAUAUGAAGACCUAGACAGGAUGUUUAUAUACCAAAAAGGCAUGGAAACUUGGGCAAGCUGGAUUGACUCUAAUCUGGAUCCACAAAAAACCAGAGUCUUCUUCAGGAGCAUUUCUCCUAUUCACACAGACCCAAGUCAAUGGGACGAACCAAAUGGGAAUCGGUGUGUGAAUGAGACCGAGCCAAUUACACAGGAUGCGUUCUUGAGCCCGAUCCCUCCUCAAAUGACCAUCAUCGAGACUGUUUUGAAACAGAUGAAAUUUCCAGUCUAUUUCUUCAAUAUCACAAGGCUUUCGGAUUAUAGGAAGGAUGCUCACCCUUCUGUGUACACCUCAGGUGAUGGAGAAAUGAGAUAUGGAAGUGCUAGCCCCGCUGAUUGCAGCCAUUGGUGUGUCUCUGGGGUGCCAGAUAUCUGGAAUGAGCUGCUCGCGUUUCUUCUUCUCUACUGAAUUUUCUGCGACUCUCUCUCUCUCUGUGGUAGCUCUACUGAGUUGCAGCCAAAGUUCGUCUGCCUCCGUUGAUGCUUGCGCUAAACUCCGAUAUGUUUACCUAUGAUUAGUUCUAGAUGGAUGAGUAUGCUCUAUACAUUUUGAUGAAAGCAAAAAGCUAUAGGGCAUGGCAGAAAAUAAAAACAGGGGUCUAUUGAGCAUCCCAUAUUGCAUGACUCCACCCUGGUUCUUUAUGGAUUUAGGAUAGGAAAUAAUUUUGGGACCAAUCGAAAUGUACCUUCACUUUGUAUU